GCGUUCACAGCCUUUAACAAAUAGUUAGUUUCCUCUUCUUGGCUGUGUGGCUUUUAAUAACAUACAAACUGUGUCAUAUAAAAAUACUUUUCUUUUUCCUUUUUUACCUUCUGAACUCCAUUGUGCGUGUUCAAAGCAACACACAGAAGGAGCAGGAGGACUGGGCCACUGCUGCCUAAUACUUUGACCGGUUCUGUCCAACUCAAACCAACUUUUUAGUUCUCAGGUAAGCUAGCUAGCUAAACAAACGGCUAACUGCUAGCUAGCGCACCUGCAGCUCGAGGAUUGGACCGACGCUGGCCGGAGUCAACGUUUGGAGCAACAGUUGAACAAGAGUUGAGUUCAUCAUGUGUCCACCGGGGGGCAGUAUAACCCCAAAUGUAAACUACCGGACGACCAUCCAGAAUUCCCUGUGGAUGUCCUCAAGUUCAGCGUUGACGCUGAGAGGGACGCAGUGGAAGUGAAGGCCACUUACAACAAACGCUGUUGUUAUAGUGGGGAGAGGCUAUGGUGGAGUCUCCCUAGGAUUGCUCUUCUGAGAGGCUGCAGUUUAUUACAAAUGGGAAAGCUUUCAUUGCAGAUUGCCCCUGCACUGCAUAGAGGGCCCCAGCAUCCUGGGAGUUCACAGGCACAGAGCGAUUGUGUGGGUCUCAGCGUGGAGGCACAGGCUGCUGGAGAGGAGAGGAAGGAUGACAGGGAGAGAACACUCAUAAUGACUGAGUGAUGUCCAGCACAAAACAAGACAUGGAGGAGGGAGCGCAGGUUCAAGACUUUCCAGGGGUAGUAGUGAGUUGUAGUGAGGAGCAGUAGAACCCGUGGCUGAUGCUGUGAUGCAAACGAUUAUAGAAGAACUUUUUUCCGAGCGGACACUUCGGCCCACUUCAAAGGGCCGUUAGGACGGAGGCGUCCAGCCGCCUUCACUGGGAGUCACGUCGCAUUUGUAGGAACCUGGCGUCAGAGCGGGCAGAGUGGGAGCAGCGAGGGCCGAAACAGGAGGAAGGAGCCGUUUCCAUUCAUCCGGCCGCACAGGGAACCGAGGACAGGACGCAGGAAGUGGCCGACGGGUGUAGGACAGGCCGUGGUUCUGUGCACGGCCCGUCUGACAACCCGUUCGCUGUCGGUCCCCACGAAGCAACAACAAAGCAAAGUGUGAUGGAACCCACAAUCGACACAGAGGAGCCGUGCUCCCAAACCGCCUACACACACUUGAGUCACAAAAGCACCUGCGAGGCCUGAAAUGAAAGUCGCUGCAUCACUUGUUCUGAGAAUAAAGGCCAGUAGAAGCCGUAGCUGUGACUGGAGGAGGGAGGAAGCUACAGGUAGGAAGGACGGGUCAAGUAACGAGCUGGACCAGCGCUGCAGAUGGGCUGUGACAGACGUCCUGUCAGUGGGAACCGGCAGAUAAUGUAGUUCUGUCCAGCUCAUGUUUUUAUAUAAAAUAAUUACAGCUUCAUUUAAUAAUGUUUAGUGCAGUUCUACGCUGUGGAUGAAGAGAAUGUUUGAUUUUAGCUUUAAUUCCAGGCUUUGAUGCCAGAGGCAGGAUGUGGAGUUUCAAGCUCUGCUCCAGCGGAGGUUCUGGUGGUUUGGUGGUGAGGAGCGGAUCCAGAAACAAUGUGAUCAUUGCUAACAUGUCAAUUCAGCCUGAUUAACUGUGUCACUCUUUCUGUACGCUGAUCAUUUUCUCUUUCCUUUGCGGCUGUUUUCCCCUUUGUCAAAUUGCAGAAAUAUUUGGUGUGUGCUCCUCAUCAUGACAGCGAUGUUGUGUAACGCGCACUGAGCGGAAACCUCACGUCACCCGAAGGUCUCAGAGAAAACGUCUGACCAUUCAUAAUAAAUAAUAGUUAUUUAUGUAUGAAUGUAAGAUUCCUUUACCUGAAUGUUACCAAGCACAACCUCUGAAAAAUCCUGUGCUCAAAUGACCAAAUGCAUUGUGGGUAGUGUAGGCAACUGUCCACUGUCCAGGUUGUGUAUAUGUAGAGAAGUCAUUUUUGAAAUAUUAAAAAAUAUUCUUUCAAACAAAUAAUGGAAAACAAAAUACCAGUUAUUAAACAUUCCCCUGACGUUAAUCAAAGUAGCGGUUUUUUUCAUUUCCUCUCAGAGCCAAUAAACCGCUUUCAGAAUAGAAAUCCUCACAUUUACAGCUUCUGUCUGCAUUUAGAAAUUCAGGGCCGAAGCAUAAACGCGGGAGGGGAGAAUAAUUAUGCGAGGCAGGUGUGGUAUAAUGUGUGAUAAACAAAGGAGGGAAGAAGGAGCGACAGAACAAAGAGUACAAAGAUAGAAGUGUCAAACAUUAGCGCGCGCAGACUCGUCUGUUGUUGUCUUCUGAUGGUUAUGACACUUGUGAUAAUUAACAAAAGCUAAGUGCAAUACAUUUGCAACAAAUCACACAACCUUGGUUCUUUGACAGUUUGCAUGAGGUUUGGAGGAACUUUUUAAAGAAAGCGAGUUGGCGCUGGUUGCUGCGUCUGGGGCUCCGUCCGCUGCAGCGGAGCCACAGACGCGGCGACACUUCACUGUGUGUUUGUGGGUCCUGCACAGUGAACGUGAGUGCGACCGGUGACCUCUGACCUCUUCAGGACCUUCACUACGGAUAACGUUGUGGGAGAGACGUGCUGACGGCAGCCGCUGGGUCAGUGUGUUUGUAAUGUGAUUCCGGGUUGCCAGGUUGGCUGUAGCGGCCGCCCGCUGCCCGCUCUGUCUGCCGACCACCUCCUGGACUCACUCAGCUUUCAUUGUGCGUCCUUCAGAGCAGUUGUGCAGAAUGCACUGUUGCAAAUCAGUAGCAGGCUCGUGCUGAACGCUUGGCAGAUGUGGAACCGCUGGCCGUUUGGCACCGGACUCCUGCUUACGUCUCAUGUUAAUGUUAAAAUGAAAAACAAGCAGGAAGCGGCUCUUGCUUCUGCGAACCUCCCUGAGAUGAUGAGGAUGUUUUCAAACACAACCGCACCGUCUGCACUCGCUGCUCCCACAGAUUACAGAGCUUUGUGUAAACUGAUAUUUUAGCGGGUUCAGUCCGUUCCCUCAGUCCUGCGUUAGCGUCCGACUCUGACUUACAACAAAUUAGCUCCGCAGCAGUGCAGUAAUGUACGGGAUGACUGUUGUCCAUCACUUUAUUACGUGUUAUCCAACAUGUCUGCUUCUAUAGAAGCUGUUAAAGUUUAACCUGCAGCGCUGGCAAUUUAUUCAGCGUUAGGUUUAAAUAGUGAGAAGUUUAAGCUUUUAUCGCCUUCGUCAUCGUCGUGGUAUAAACGCUGCGUGGUGCUUUUUGUGUGUGUGUGUGUGUGUGUGUGUGUGUGUGUGUGUGUGUGUGUGUGUGUGUGUGUGUGUGUGUGUGUGUGUGUGUGUGUGUGUGUGUGUGUGUGUGUGUGUGUGUGUGUGUGUGUGCGCGCGUGUGCGUCUUUGAUUUUU